UGGGGAAUUUUGGACAAUGGGCGAAAGCCUGAUCCAGCAAUGCCGCGUGUGUGAAGAAGGCCUUCGGGUUGUAAAGCACUUUUGUCCGGAAAGAAAUCCUUGGCUCUAAUACAGUCGGGGGAUGACGGUACCGGAAGAAUAAGCACCGGCUAACUACGUGCCAGCAGCCGCGGUAAUACGUAGGGUGCAAGCGUUAAUCGGAAUUACUGGGCGUAAAGCGUGCGCAGGCGGUUUGCUAAGACCGAUGUGAAAUCCCCGGGCUCAACCUGGGAACUGCAUUGGUGACUGGCAGGCUAGAGUAUGGCAGAGGGGGGUAGAAUUCCACGUGUAGCAGUGAAAUGCGUAGAGAUGUGGAGGAAUACCGAUGGCGAAGGCAGCCCCCUGGGCCAAUACUGACGCUCAUGCACGAAAGCGUGGGGAGCAAACAGGAUUAGAUACCCUGGUAGUCCACGCCCUAAACGAUGUCAACUAGUUGUUGGGGAUUCAUUUCCUUAGUAACGUAGCUAACGCGUGAAGUUGACCGCCUGGGGAGUACGGUCGCAAGACUGAAACUCAAAGGAAUUGACGGGGUCAUAGCUGUUUCCU
rnacentral:rRNA from 1 species